UACAGAGGUCUCAAGCGUUGUUCGGAUUUAUUGGGCGUAAAGAGCGUGUAGGCGGCCAGACAGGUCAGCUGUGAAAACUCGAGGCUCAACCUCGAGACGUCGGUUGAAACCGUCUGGCUAGAGUCCGGAAGAGGAGAGUGGAAUUCCCGGUGUAGCGGUGAAAUGCGCAGAUAUCGGGAAGAACACCCGUGGCGAAGGCGGCUCUCUGGGACGGUACUGACGCUGAGACGCGAAAGCGUGGGGAGCGAACAGG
rnacentral:rRNA from 1 species